UUUAUUAUUUUUUUACUCUUUUAAUUUAAAACAAAUACUCUACUCCUCUUUUUCCCUUUUCCCUAUUUCCUCUAUUUCUCUCGCACAAUACUUGCAGUUUUUUAUUUGUUCAGAGUUUCAAGGAGGCGUCCGCGGAGGCAGUGGAACGGAAAGCAGCGGCAGUGAAACGGGAAGCGGCGCCAGUGAAACGGAAAUUGGCGGAUGGAUAAUAAUGACGAUGUGGAAACUGCUAUAGGAAUUGGAAAGGCUGAAGAUAAAAAAAGUGAAGCAAAAGAAUCCGAAGAAACCUAAGGUGACCGCUGCGGAAGCUGCCGCUAAAAUUUGAUGCCUCAGAUCUCGACGCUUUUGACGCUGAAAUAUCGGGAUGGAUGACUCUUGCGACAGUGUCUCUCGCAACACUAGAGGUGGGAUGGAUGACUCUUGAAGAUGCAUGUUGUUUUUAGAUUUUUCUUAAAGAUGCAUCAUGUUGUGGAUUAUGAACCUUGGAGAUUUUUAAUUUCUUUGUUGAUUU